rnacentral:lncRNA from 1 species
GUUUUUAAAAUAUAAUUAACACAUAAAUUUCACAAUAUAUACAUAAAAUUCCCAAAAUCUACAAAUCUAACAUUCAAAACCUUAAAUCUACAUAUAAACCACAAAAUCUAACAUGUAAAUUCCAAUAAUUAUCCAUUCAAUCCUAACUAUUCAUAUUCAAUUCUACAUAAAAACCUCCAAAUCUAAUAUCAAAAACUAUUAAAAUUGAGAUU